UACGGGGGGUGCGAGCGUUGUCCGGAAUCACUGGGCGUAAAGGGCGCGUAGGUGGUUUGAUAAGGGUGUGGUGAAAGUCCGGGGCUCAACCCCGGAUCUGCCGUGCCGACUGUCAAACUCGAGGACUGUAGAGGCAGACGGAAUUUCGGGUGUAGCGGUGGAAUGCGUAGAUAUCCGAAAGAACACCGGAGGCGAAGGCGGCUUGCUGGGCGUGAUCUGACGCUGAGGCGCGAAAGCGUGGGGAGCGAACAGG
rnacentral:rRNA from 1 species